GCAGCCGCAAAAUCGGUUGCCGGGUUUCGCAGCUCGAACAUCACGGAAGCGCACGACCGCGCCAGCGGUUUUUUU
rnacentral:sRNA from 1 species